UGGCAGCGGAGCGAGGGAAGCCCCUGACAGCCGCCCAUUAGGGGUGGUCUCGUGGCGGGCGGAGCGUCCGCCCGCUCACCUGUGGAGAAGGCGGCUGGUUAAAGCUUAACCCGAGCGGGCUGAGCAGGCGUUUUAGGACAGUCGUCGCAGCUCGCCUGACUCGUGUUGCAGGGAGUGCUCAGGGUCUGGAAGCGGCCGCUGCCCGACGAGGCAGGCUCGGUGCUGCGGCUGCUGUGGAGAGUCCUCGGCCUCCUCCCCAUGUCCGGCGUGUCUCCAAACGAGUCAGGAGCCUGGGCAGCGCCGGGGCAGCGCCGGGGCUGGCACCGGCCCCUGCACAGCAGCCGUGCCCCAGCGGCCCUGUCACCACCUGCUCGAGAGAGGCCCACAGCCCUCCCUGCCUUGUUGGCCUUUGCCGAAAUUGAAGUGUCUCUUGGCUCCAAGCCACGUGAAAGCUUUGAAGCAUGUGGGUUAUGGGCACUGGGUUUGGCCACCCCUUUAGCUGACAGUGUAAGAAACAGCCCUCGGUUCAGCACCGAAAGCUGUUCCUCUUACACCAGUCAGAUCACGUCCAGUGCUCACACCGGUGUGUGGUGUAUAUAAAACCUCGCGGAAAUUAAGAGGUCCUUCUACUGAGAGUCGUAAAAGGAACUCUGCUUAAUUCUGGAUCAGAUGACUGAUAAAAAUACAAAUGAGUAAGAUCUGCGAUUUUUCUAAAGGAGUAUGGACAGAAUCUUUAAAGAUUCAGUGGUGCUCAAUAUGUCAAAACACUUGAGCAGCUGUAAGAUCAGAACUCAAAGGCCGAGCAAGGAUGCAGCCACCUAGGAGGCUGAUUAAGGCUUUCUAGGUUUGAUUGAGGAGGGAACAGAACAAGGACACCUGAGAAAGAUGCUGAUUUCAGCCUGUUUAAACUGUUUCAUUGAUGUAAGUCCUCUGUUUCUGCAAGUACAUGAAACACUGGUCCAAAGAAAGAUUUUCAUCCAUACCCUAUUUUGAAAGGUCAGGUAGCAACAGCAAUGAACACAUGACAGCCAAAAAAUUAAAAGGCAACACAGGUACCUGUUUGAAAGUACUCUUUUCAUCAUUUCAACACUCACCUUCUCCUAAUUUUCUCCAUCUCCUUAUGACGCUGGGUGAACUUUGUCUCACAAAAAGAUAAGAAAAAGAUUAUGCACCAAAUAAUUCAGCUGACUCCCGAUUCUGACACUCUGCAAGGAAAGUGGUAUGUAGAUGCUAUCUUUACAGGGUGAACUUUACCUUGGCUUUCACCACCCAAUUUCAAAUAAAAUAUAUUUAUAACAUUUCUGUUAAUGUUGCCCUUUUCAGCUUGUUGCAUUUUUUUAUAUCUUUGAACUUGUUACAGUUUCCUAGAAUUUAUAGUUCCAGAAUAAUUUAGAUCAUUAGGAAAACUAAAUUAUUAGUGUUACUUUAAGGCAUCCUUAUCAAUGAGAAACACAGCUCAACGCUGAACUGUCAUAUCCAGCUUAACAGCAGUAGUGUACAUCAAAAGUUAGCCUGCUCUAUGUUAUAAAAAGUUUUCGAGGGAGUAAGAAGUCACAGUUCCUUGGGAUAUUUAUAGUAUUUAAGAAUGCUUUUAAGUAACUUGUAAUGGCAGAUGCCACAGGGUACUCCAUCAUAAGUGGUUUUCCUAUUCAUAACAAGUAAUGCAUAUUAUGGCGUGUUUCAAGCCAGGCCCACAGUAAACUUUGUAGAAAAAAUAAAUUCCAUUUGGAUCUUGUUAAUGCCAUGUUGUGUUUUGAUUUUUGUUUUGAAUACAGCUCUUAAGUGGAAUUUUUAGCCCUGAAUUUGAUAGUAUGUACUUCAUGAUGGACUUCAUUGGAUUACAUUUAAAGCUCCAACACAAGUAUCAAUGGCACAAGCUGAAUGGUGUUACUGUGGGGUAAAAAAUUGACUUGUUACAACAGAACUAACCUCUGAAUGGCUUGGGUGAGAGGCCUGCAUAGUGAGAGUCCUGCUCUUCCAAAUGCUGGCUCCUUUCUCCCUUCCACAGACUAUCUCUUCCUACCUCUACUACACAGCCUCUCACCAGGAGUGCAUUCUCUUCACUCAGGGUAUGUAGUUGUGGAUUGCUGCCCCUGCAAACAUCAAGAUGGCUACAGCACAUCCUGGCUUGGAUUAGAGGAGCAAAAGGGACUUGGAGGGCCAUUGGGAACUCAGAAGGACUGGGAUAUCAGUUCUGGAAUCUAAACAGGCUCCAGUCACUGCUCCAGAAAGGUCCCAGACAUGGAGCUAACAGUUGUCAA